GACGAACGCUGGCGGCGUGCUUAACACAUGCAAGUCGAGCGGUAAGGCCCUUUCGGGGGUACACGAGCGGCGAACGGGUGAGUAACACGUGGGUGACCUGCCCUCAGCUCUGGGAUAAGCCUGGGAAACUGGGUCUAAUACCGGAUAUGACUCCAUGACGCAUGUUGUGGGGUGGAAAGCCUUGUGCGGCUGGGGAUGGGCCCGCGGCCUAUCAGCUUGUUGGUGGGGUGAUGGCCUACCAAGGCGACGACGGGUAGCCGGCCUGAGAGGGCGACCGGCCACACUGGGACUGAGACACGGCCCAGACUCCUACGGGAGGCAGCAGUGGGGAAUCUUGCGCAAUGGGCGAAAGCCUGACGCAGCGACGCCGCGUGAGGGAUGACGGCC
rnacentral:rRNA from 1 species